rnacentral:pre_miRNA from 1 species
UGGUCUAGUUCUGUGUGGAAGACUAGUGAUUUUGUUGUUUUUAGAUAACUGAAUUGACAACAAAUCACAGUCUGCCAUAUGGCACAGACCA